rnacentral:rRNA from 1 species
UGGGGAAUAUUGGGCAAUGGGCGCAAGCCUGACCCAGCAACGCCGCGUGAAGGAAGAAGGCUUUCGGGUUGUAAACUUCUUUUGUCGGGGACGAAACAAAUGACGGUACCCGACGAAUAAGCCACGGCUAACUACGUGCCAGCAGCCGCGGUAAUACGUAGGCGGCAAGCGUUAUCCGGAUUUACUGGGUGUAAAGGGCGUGUAGGCGGGAUUGCAAGUCAGAUGUGAAAACUGGGGGCUCAACCUCCAGCCUGCAUUUGAAACUGUAGUUCUUGAGUGCUGGAGAGGCAAUCGGAAUUCCGUGUGUAGCGGUGAAAUGCGUAGAUAUACGGAGGAACACCAGUGGCGAAGGCGGAUUGCUGGACAGUAACUGACGCUGAGGCGCGAAAGCGUGGGGAGCAAACAGG